CGCCAACAUGGCUGAAGAGGGGGAAGAGGACAGAAGGAAGCAUGAAAGCUAAGAAUUCAUCUUCAUAUCUCAUAAAGCAGGAGCAGAGGAAGUUGACUGCUAACAUAAUUAGCAGAUGAUUGCACGGGGGAGGCUGAAAUCUUUAACAGCUGUUUCAAAGCAUUCUGCACCAAAUCUUCUGUGCUGCAGAGCACUUCCAGCUCUUGAAUGGCAUUCUCUCCAAUGACACAGAUUAUGGGACCAUGGAGUGGAGGCCUCCACGAAGGACUUAACUUGUUCAUUUACUUGGAAAAAAGGUGUCUGAUCCGUAACAGGGACCCAGACAAGAUCAACGUAGAAGGAUGCAGUGAGAAAUGGCUUGCCCGGUACACACAGCAAGCUUUCCCAGGAUUUAGGGAAACUCAAACUUUUCAACUACUACUAGUCUGAUUGCAAGCAACUGACCAACUUUGAACAUGUCACCUCUUCAGCAGGAUCCUGAGUGGGAAUAAUUCCAUCUCCUCUCCACUCUAAAAAACCAACAAGCAUCCGAAAACCAGGAGAUGGACUCUACCAGCAAAAAGCAAGCAUUAUGCCAGAAAAGGCACAUGGGAAGGAGAAAAGAGAUUCCCCAAGGAUAAACAGACUGGGAAGAUCAAAAAGAGAAUGGAACUAAGACAAGACAGAGCUUGGCUGGUAAGAGACCAGAAGUUCACAGAUCACACAGAUGGAAAACCCUUAGCAAACAUCACACUGCCAGAGCUGAGAGCAAGUGCAAUUAAAAAGUUGCAGUGAACUGGAAGCAGGCAGAAAAAUUUUUGCAUCUCAGCCAAAAAGUCCAACAACUAAAAUGAACUAUCCUUGAUCACUUGCAGCCUAUAGUAGCUAUAAGGGUACUUUAACUGUGUUUCAGUAUUCAGAUAUUCCAUUCAUAGCUAACAUCCAUUCAACCAAAGGGUUACAAACCCCUCUAUAUUGCACACUGCUUAGAACAGAACACAAAGGAUGUGCUUCACCAAAACCAACCCAGAACCAUUUACCUAUGAGUGCAAAGAAAAGACAAUAAAGCAGACAAAGAUAAUAUAUA